CUACAAAACAGCGGGAAGUGCGCUUUCCUGGCUUUUACUUUCCGCCCUUCCCCCCCGCCUAAAUUCGAAAAACCCCAAAAAUGGUCCAGAAGAUGCAAGAUCAUGGCUACAUGCUAACAUAGCCACACAAGCCGUACCGUGGGUCAGCUGGAGCAUCAGCGGACCAACCAGAAAUGUUUACUGGCAUGAUGGGGAAACACCUCUGAAGGGGAACACAAGUCUCACGGCAACCGGAGACCGCGUUUUCCUCCUGCAUGCUCUACCGGCGCCUCCAGCCCGAGCGGAGUCACAUCCCGGGCUGCUGUCGCUGGCCACUAGGUCGCGCUAGAGCACCGGGGAAGAGGAGAUGAGGGCCCAGCGUGGAGGGGAGCAACGUGGAGACCUGAGUUCAGCCUCCCCCCUCCCGAUUCCGUCGACUGCCAGCGGGAAACUGUGUCCGGAGCCUUUAAACCACUCCACAAGACAUUUCCCUUUGGGGACUUGAUAAAUCUCCGUACAUUCUGCAAAGGAUGACGCCAUAGAUGUGACAUUUCUGCUAACAAGACGCCGUUCCUCUCCUUCCUCUGUCUCUUGUGCCAAACAACAAGCUGCACAGCUGCAUCUUUGGAAAAUGGCAGAGAGGUCAGAGCCAAAACGGAGAGCACUGCAAGAAAACUGUCCCCCGCCCAGUAGUUUUAAUUGUAGAUAGUGGGUCCAGAUUUGAUCGAUUUGUCCAUUAUUUCUUAUACAUAGCAUAUGUGUGUUACCUGAAGUGUGUGAGGUGUCUCUGGAUGUCCAAGUCCAGGAUAGGGGUCGGUCUGGAGGAGCCCAAAGGAGAGCGAUCUUGGCUCAAUAAGUCCUGGAACUCCUUACAGAUUUGCCUGACGGACAGAAGGAGGGAGGGAUUGAGGGGUUUACCAUCUGUCUCCGACACAACCGUCGCAAUUUGUCUUUUUAAAAAAAUGUAAUCCUUUGUCUUUAUUGUACCCACCCUCAUCGUUUUGGAUCAACCCACCCCAUAAAUUCAAGUAAUUUCCUCUCAGUGACCAACUGAAAGAAUACUAUGGGCAUGAGCAAGACAAGUUCAGUGUCGAUCCAAAGACAGGCGAGACAUUUUUCCCAACGUGAUGCCAAAAAUCCUGCAGGUGUAAAGUCAAAGUUGGUUUUUCUACACUUGUCCAGGCUCUUUUUGGAUUUUAUUCAGACUUGAAAUCGUUGUUGGGACGACAUGGUUGGAAGAGAAUGGGUGCUGUUUCCCCUCAGCACAUUCAGUACUCGAUGUGUAAUAGUGCUUGUAAGAGUGUGACAUCAAUAUAGCUCUUACUGUUAAAUAUAUACAAGCCCUGUGGCAGGGGAUAUCUUAGAAUUCAAACGCGAGACAUUCUCGAUGCGUGAAAAGUGUGUUUGUGCAUGUGCUCGUGAAGGUGUCCUUGCUCACGACAAAAGCAUUUUCUAAUUCUGCGUGAAGGUUCCAUUCCUGUAUAAUGUUCCUCUUGCUUGACCAUAGCGCUCCUCAAUCUUAACGACAGCUUCUCGUUUUUCCCGACUCUUACAGAAACUAUACAACCACCAGUUUUCUUGUUGUUAAACAUGUGGCCCCUGCACUUUUCUUUUUAAUCAAGGGAUUCCCUCAAGAUGUAUGAUUUAGGGGUAAGGUGAUUGAUUUGGGGCUAUAAAAUGACUGUCAUGGGCAAAUAAGAUCUUAAGUUAAAGCAAAAUCUGAGGACUUUAAAUUUUAUUUCUAGGCUCUGCUACAUUCAUGUGUGUUUGUGUAUGGUGUAUCUGUGCGUGCGCGUGUGUGUUUGUAUUCUUACUUUGUAGCCAGAACCAUUUUCUUGCGUGCGCUGGUUUCUUUCGGCUCACUGUGCUGCCUCGCCAAAUGCUCCCCCACUGCCUUGCUGGGAAACUCUGUCUCGCAGGUGUAGCCGAAGUCCCUCGCCAGGUGGAGCGCCUCACCUGAGCAUAAAGGCAGGAAGAAGACGGAUGAAACAAACGCUGGAAGGAU